UGGCGGCAUGCUUUACACAUGCAAGUCGAACGGUAACAGGCCGCAAGGUGCUGACGAGUGGCGAACGGGUGAGUAAUGCAUCGGAACGUGCCCAGUCGUGGGGGAUAACUACUCGAAAGAGUAGCUAAUACCGCAUACGAUCUAUGGAUGGAAGCGGGGGACCGUAAGGCCUCGCGCGAUUGGAGCGGCCGAUGUCAGAUUAGGUAGUUGGUGGGGUAAAGGCUCACCAAGCCAACGAUCUGUAGCUGGUCUGAGAGGACGACCAGCCACACUGGGACUGAGACACGGCCCAGACUCCUACGGGAGGCAGCAGUGGGGAAUUUUGGACAAUGGGCGCAAGCCUGAUCCAGCAAUGCCGCGUGCAGGAAGAAGGCCUUCGGGUUGUAAACUGCUUUUGUACGGAACGAAACGGCUCUGGUUAAUACCCGGGGCUAAUGACGGUACCGUAAGAAUAAGCACCGGCUAACUACGUG
rnacentral:rRNA from 1 species